GAGUUGCUGUUGCCGUUUAAGUAGCAAAGUGUAACUUGCGGUGCUGUUCCUGGCUAGAUUACUUCAUUUUGCCGCUUUAAAAGAAAAAAUUGGUUUCGAUAUGACAGAUAAAAAGGAGAAAAUGAUGGACCUUGACAAAACAACAGAAGUUUUAAGUUUGAAAAAAAUUAACGAUGGAAAGGAAAUUAACGAUCUGAAUUUGAAAGCCCAGCACCCCUUUGAAGUAAUGUUGUACGUAAACCACUUUAAGUCUUCUGAAAUAAAAGUAGGAGUUGAUGGAAGAGUAGUCAUUGUGAAUGGUCAUCAUGAAGCUCGUACUGAUGCACAUGGAUUUAUCCGUCGAAAAUUUUCUUGCAAGUAUAAUUUGCCUAAAGACGUUAAGCCUGAAAAUUUACUUGCAAAUUUUACUGAAGACUGCAUCUUCACUAUCAAAGCUUACGACGAAAAGGAAUACAUGAAGCAUGAUGAUGAAAAUUUCGAUAUGACAGAUAAAAAGGAAAAAAUAUUGGACGGUGACAAAAAAACGGUAAAAACCCAGCACCCAUUCGAAGAAAGGUUGUACAUAAACCACUUUAAGUCUUCUGAAAUAAAUGUAGGAGUUUAUGGAAGAACAGUCAUUGUGAAUGGUCAUCAUGAAGCUCGUACUGAUACACAUGGAUUUAUCCGUCGAAAAUUUUCUCGCAAGUAUAAUUUGCCUGAAGCCGUUGAGCCUGAAAAUUUACUUGCAAUUUUUAAUGAAAACGGCAUCCUCACUAUCCAAGCUUACGAUGAAAAGGAAUACAAGAAGCACGAGGAUGAAAACUUUGAUGAACGAAGAAACCCUUUCGAGACUAAGGAAUUCAAAGAUGGGAAGAUGUUCUCACAGAAGUAUAAAGGUUUGAAAAACGAUGAAGUGAAAUUCAUUGGCGGAGUUACGCAGCUGCUCGAAAAGAAACAAUCCAUUGAGGAUCAGGAAACUAAGCCGGCCAAAGUCAAACCCUGCGUUACGGAUCUGGCCUCGAAGAGCGAUAAGUCGAAGCAGACACCCACCGCGGGUCAGGCUGAAAUAAAGACCCCCGCUACUGUUUAUUCUCCGAAGCUCGACGAAGUGAAGAAAGCUUCCGAUGCCGUUAAAGAUCCGAAGUCCGUCGUUGCGAAGCAGACUCCCGCCUCUGGUCUUUCCCCGAAAUCCGUCGUUGCGAAGCAGACUCCCGCCUCUGGUCUUUCCCCGAAAUCCGUCGUUGCGAAGCAGACUCCCGCCUCUGGUCUUUCCCCGAAAUCUGUCCAAACGAAGCAGACUCCCGCCUCGGGUCUUUCCCCGAAGUCUGUCCAAACGAAGCAGACUCCUGCCUCGUGUCUUUCCCCGAAGUCUGUCCAAACGAAGCAGACUCCUGCCUCGUGUCUUUCUCCGAAGUCCGUCCAAACGAAGCAGGCUCCUGCGUCUGGAGUUUCUUCGAAGUCCGUCCAAGGGAAGCAGACUGCCACCGCAGGUCAGGCUGAAGUAAAAUCUCUUGCAGCUGUUAAGUCUCCGAAGCCCGUCCGCGUGAUGAAGACUUCUGUCUUGGUUAAGGAUCCGAAGUCCAUUGAAAUGAAGAAGCCGGUCGGUGAGGGUCAAGCCUCAAAACCUGGCGAAAUGAGGCUCUGCAAGAUGCAAGCCUCAACGUCCGAUGACGGGAAACCAACCAGUACGAGUCAGGCCUCAAAGUCCCGUAGGAAGUCCGAUGAGAAGUCACCCAAGUCGACCACUGGGCAUGAAGAAAGGUGAAAAUUCUAGACCGUGAAGGCCAGGUGAGGAAAAGGCUGUCAACUAGUAGUAAAUAUCACGUAGAACUGCAAUGCAUGCAAUUUGAGUUUGAAACCACUGAUAUACUGCUACUAAACGCCUCGUAUCGGCUCGCGACAGUUCCAAGAACAUUACAGAAAUUGGACACUAUGUAUUUAAUAAGCGAAUAAAAG
rnacentral:misc_RNA from 1 species